rnacentral:rRNA from 1 species
UACGUAGGUGGCAAGCGUUGUCCGGAUUUACUGGGCGUAAAGAGCGCGCAGGCGGUCGUGCAAGUCGCGUGUGAAAGCCCCCGGCUCAACUGGGGAGGGUGGCUGGAAACUGGCGUUCUUGAGGGCGAGAGAGGAGGGUGGAAUUCCUGGUGUAGCGGUGAAAUGCGUAGAGAUCAGGAGGAACACCCGGGGCGAAGGCGGCCCUCUGGCUCGACCCUGACGCUGAGGCGCGAAAGCGUGGGGAGCGAACGGG